UGCAAGUCGAGCGGGCGUAGCAAUACGUCAGCGGCAGACGGGUGAGUAACGCGUGGGAACGUACCUUUUGGUUCGGAACAACACAGGGAAACUUGUGCUAAUACCGGAUAAGCCCUUACGGGGAAAGAUUUAUCGCCGAAAGAUCGGCCCGCGUCUGAUUAGCUAGUUGGUGAGGUAAUGGCUCACCAAGGCGACGAUCAGUAGCUGGUCUGAGAGGAUGAUCAGCCACAUUGGGACUGAGACACGGCCCAAACUCCUACGGGAGGCAGCAGUGGGGAAUAUUGGACAAUGGGGGCAACCCUGAUCCAGCCAUGCCGCGUGAGUGAUGAAGGCUCUAGGGUUGUAAAGCUCUUUUGUGCGGGAAGAUAAUGACGGUACCGCAAGAAUAAGCCCCGGCUAACUUCGUGCCAGCAGCCGCGGUAAUACGAAGGGGGCUAGCGUUGCUCGGAAUCACUGGGCGUAAAGGGUGCGUAGGCGGGUCUUUAAGUCAGGGGUGAAAUCCUGGAGCUCAACUCCAGAACUGCCUUUGAUACUGAAGAUCUUGAGUUCGGGAGAGGUGAGUGGAACUGCGAGUGUAGAGGUGAAAUUCGUAGAUAUUCGCAAGAACACCAGUGGCGAAGGCGGCUCACUGG
rnacentral:rRNA from 1 species